UACGUAGGUGGCAAGCGUUGUCCGGAUUUAUUGGGUUUAAAGGGUGCGUAGGCGGCUUUAUAAGUCAGUGCUGAAAUAUCCCGGCUUAACCGGGAGGGUGGCAUUGAUACUGCAGAGCUUGAGUGAAGUCGAGGUAGGCGGAAUUGACGGUGUAGCGGUGAAAUGCUUAGAUAUCGUCAAGAACACCGAUAGUGAAGACAGUUUACUAGACUUCAACUGACGCUGAGGCACGAAAGUGUGGGGAUCAAACAGG
rnacentral:rRNA from 1 species